GAUGAACGCUGGCGGCGUGCUUAACACAUGCAAGUCGAACGAUGAAGCUCAGCUUGCUGGGUGGAUUAGUGGCGAACGGGUGAGUAACACGUGAGUAACCUGCCCUUAACUCUGGGAUAAGCCUGGGAAACUAGGUCUAAUACCGGAUAGGAGCGUCCACCGCAUGGUGGGUGUUGGAAAGAUUUAUCGGUUUUGGAUGGACUCGCGGCAUAUCAGCUUGUUGGUGAGGUAAUGGCUCACCAAGGCGACGACGGGUAGCCGGCCUGAGAGGGUGACCGGCCACACUGGGACUGAGACACGGCCCAGACUCCUACGGGAGGCAGCAGUGGGGAAUAUUGCACAAUGGGCGAAAGCCUGAUGCAGCGACGCCGCGUGAGGGAUGACGGCCUUCGGGUUGUAAACCUCUUUCAGUAGGGAAGAAGCGAAAGUGACGGUACCUGCAGAAGAAGCACCGGCUAACUACGUG
rnacentral:rRNA from 1 species